rnacentral:rRNA from 1 species
GACGAACGCUGGCGGCGUGCCUAAUACAUGCAAGUAGAACGCACAGUUUAUACCGUAGCUUGCUACACCAUAGACUGUGAGUUGCGAACGGGUGAGUAACGCGUAGGUAACCUGCCUGGUAGCGGGGGAUAACUAUUGGAAACGAUAGCUAAUACCGCAUAAUAUUAAUUAUUGCAUGAUAAUUAAUUGAAAGGUGCAAUUGCACCACUGCCAGAUGGACCUGCGUUGUAUUAGCUAGUAGGUGAGGUAACGGCUCACCUAGGCGACGAUACAUAGCCGACCUGGGAGGGUGAUCGGCCACACUGGGACGGAGACACGGCCCAGACUCCUACGGGAGGCAGCAGUAGGGAAUCUUCGGCAAUGGACGAAAGUCUGACCGAGCAACGCCGCGGGAGUGAAGAAGGGUUUCGGAUCGUAAAGCUCUGUUGUAAGAGAAGAACGGGUGUGAGAGUGGAAAGUUCACACUGUGACGGUAUCUGACCAGAAAGGGACGGCUAACUACGUG